AACUCUGUGUGAUGCAGUGGGUCAAUGCAUCUGGCUGCUAACCAGAAAGUUGGUGGUUCAAGCCCCCCCAGGGAUG